AGCCAACGCAGGAGUUCAGAGGAAGAGGGCAGGGAAUAUGAGGAGAUAUUAUAGCUAGGGCUGGGAAAAACACCGUAAUCCCAUAAAAUGGACCGUAAUUGCGAAAGGUGUAUUGAAGAAUUGGCGACGGUGACAGCUAACGCUAAUUGUUAUUCCGGAAGGAUUGCCGGUGGCGAAGAUAUUUAGCACGAUAAACUGUUACAAGUAAUGUAAAGAGUAUUGUUAGCGUUCGGCAGGACUUGAGGAGAUUCCUGGUAGGAAUACCGAUCGUUGUGAGAUAAACUAAUAGGCGCAGUCACCGCCCUAAAUACCGGCGCUAGCGGAAAACUCGUACAUUCCGCGAUCUAACUGCACGUACAUUCCGCGAUCUCACUGCGCCGUCCAGACGGUGCCCUAAUGUCUAUCACUUAGCUACCGGAUAUGCAUCGGUAGCCCCAUAAGGUUCUGGGGUAAGUCUUCCCCAUUAGUCAGGCGCAGACCCGGGGUCAAAUCCCCUGGUCGACAACCACACGAGUUGGGAGAGGACCGUUUCCUCAACAAGGUGUAAUGCGCAACGCCGUAAAUAAUGAAAUUUACGGUGGGUUCCGGGGCAAAGUGGACCGUAACGAUUUACGGUCCUCGUUGCCGGAGCCAAAUCCUUUCUUUUCUUUUAUAUAACGAUAUAUAAGCUUAUUUCAUACCUUUUUACAUAGUUUUAUCAGGGUUACUUGCACCUAAGCUUGUAUUUAGCCGCGAUAUGGGUGACAUCCAGCCAAAGACAAGCGGGCUUCCAUGCUGGUUGGCCGUGUGGGGCUCCUGGUGUACAUCUACUACAACUACCGUGUCCUUAACCGCAAGGCCCCUGUCAACAACAAGGAUUGGGACCAGUUCCUGGACUGGUUGAACAGCCUGUCCCCACUGACAGUAGAGGGCCAGCGGCAGCGGGACCACCUCGAGAACAGUGCAACUAAGGCCCAGGCGCCACCGCAGCAGCAGAACUGCACUGAGGAGGACGCCAGCAGCGAUGACGACGAAACGCCCCUGGCGAUACUGUCGAAGUAGCGGCAAUGCGCAGCCCAGGAGGCAGAGGCUGACACUGUUACGCAUGUUCGGCCCGUAUAUAUUAGGAGCAUCAUUCUUGGUUGAGGAUUUAGCAUAUGGCAUGAUGGCAUACAACAGAUGCAGUACUCGAUGCGCGCACGGUGCUCCGGUUGAAAUGUUUUCGCCUCAUUCAGUAUUUUUGGCUGUCUUUUGUGAUAGUUUAAUCAUAGGUUAAUGUAUAAUAAGCUUUUUAAGACUAUCCCGUAGCUCCAAGGGACGAAAUGGCAUGUUUCGAGGUGUGGUCGUCGGUAUUGGCUCGCACGCUUGCGGUCCGACCGUAAUUUGGACCUUUUGGUAACCGUAAUUGCAUUACACCGUAAGGACCGUCAUUUUACUGUGUUUUUGGGGGGUCACCGAAAUUGCGAAAGGUGUAAUGCGCAACUUCGUAAGGACCGUAACCGUAAUUCCCAGCCCUAAUUAUAGCCCUCGGAGUGGUGACAUGGUGUUGCAGGAAGGAGGAUAGUAGGUCGCAUUAACGUGGCUGUCACUGAUCCGUACCCUGCUGAACUUUUGCUGAGUAAUACUUUCACUGAAGCCAUUUCAGGUGCAAAUGCAAAUGAGUGGCGCAGAGUGAUGGUCGAGGAGAUUGCUGCAUUAGCAGCUAACGGUGUUUGUGUGCCAUGUGCACAGCCUCAUGAUGUGCGUGUGCUACUGUACCCGUGGGUGUACAAAUUGAAAACACUGGAAAAUGACAGUGUCAAGCGUUCUUUUGCAUGGCUAGUUGCAAAGGUGUACGAGAAGUACGAGACCUUGGAGAAGCGCAGGUGUUUUCGGACAUGGAAAUUAUGGGGAGAAG
rnacentral:lncRNA from 1 species